rnacentral:rRNA from 1 species
UACGGGGGGAGCAAGCGUUGUUCGGAUUUACUGGGCGUAAAGGGCGCGUAGGCGGCCACCGCAAGUCGACUGUGAAAUCUCCGGGCUUAACUCGGAAAGGUCAGCCGAUACUGCGGGGCUAGAGUGCAGAAGGGGCAACUGGAAUUCUCGGUGUAGCGGUGAAAUGCGUAGAUAUCGAGAGGAACACCUGCGGCGAAGGCGGGUUGCUGGGGCUGACACUGACGCUGAUGUGCGAAAAGCUAGGGGGAGCGAACGGG